AAAAAAAAAAAACAAUGAAAAAGAGUUUUGAUGCUGAAGAUACAUAUCAAAGUCUCCCAAAACAAAAUAAAUAAGAGCAAUUCCUACAAAAUGAUAUAUCCAGAUGCACAAACCCAAGAAAAAAAAAAAAAAGUUUACCUUGUGCAUUCAAAUAGCCAAAAAAUCGAAUCAAAAGAGAUAACUACCAUAUUAAGCGAUUCCUACUAGCUAUACUCAGCCUUGGACAAACCAUAGUGGUUUUCCACUGGUAUUCAUCCAGGAGGUCCUUACUUUUUCACCUAAAAACGGUCACAGACCAUCAAGCAAUCUAGUAAUCCUCUUGUUGUUUUCAAUGAAAAUACACGUACGGCUUAAUAAGCAGAGAGGAUUGCAUAAGAUACACAAUGUUGUCAUGGAAGGCUGCAAUUAUCAAUAUCUAAGUAAUUUUAAAUUGUUUCUCCAAUCGACCUGCCAAGAGGUAUGAAAUACAAAAAGGGGUUUAAUACCAAUUAGCCGAAUUCAACAUCAUAUAUUACAUGGCGAGCUCUCACCUUGACAACACUGUGUAAAAGCAGGAAUUGAAGUCACAGGAGGUUGAUCCUCUACAUCAGUCCUAUUAGCCUGAAAAUCAAAAUUAAGCAAGUUCAGGUUACAGUCGAGUAAAGCCUAGGGGUCUCGAAGGCACUCCACGAUCUGAAAAUUGUCAGCAGAAGCAAUUAAAAAAAAAAACAGAAAGAAGAUAGAGAUAAGCCGGCUACCUGAAUUUGUUCCAGAUGAAAAAGUUGAGCGUCAUGGACGGCGUAAGCUCCUUCAUCCAAGUAGUCCGGCAUUUGAACAAGGAAAAUAACAAUAUGGUAGGUAAUUAGAUCAGAAACAGUUCGGAUAUCAAAAAGAGAGCAAAGACGAUCAAAAUUCAGAUUCACAAUAUAAAAAACGAAAUAACAAACUUAGGAGAAAUAAGCACACCUGAAAAAAUAUACCCCCCUUACAGCCUCACAAACACAGAGCACCAACUUCAAUCUAAAAUCCAAUUCCUAAACACAUGCAGAACAACAAACCAAACAGUUAAAGUAAAAAGGAAGCGAAAUACUUAUCAAAGUUAAGGAAACAUUCGAGUGACUACAAUACUCAAACUCGUACUCCAUCAGUCAAACUUGUACUCAUUCUUCAGUUCAUCUCUUUACCUCAGGAUAAUCCACAAAACAGAAGCUUGAACUAAUCUUGGUUUAAAGAAAGGAUUGCUGAUCUAAAAGUGAAAAUAAAUUCAGUGUGAAAGACGAAUUCCUUACCAGAUUUAUAGGAUCUAAACGCGAUCGUCUUUCCAGAGCUGCACAUUAAUCACCAAAAAGAAUUUUAAGCACAUUUAACAGCAAACUCUAAUAGGUUUUUUAACCUUUACAACACUUAAACAAAAAAGUAAAGAAGCAAUCAUCACCUUCCUUGUACAAAUGAAAGGAAUAAAUUGCAAAACCGAUACAGCAAUAAUGAACUCGAAGAGCAUGACCAAGUUGAAAAAUCCAAGUUGAUAAUAAGUAUCAUUUCAGUAGGCAACUAUUCAUAUAUUCAAGUGCAUCAAUCAUAUUGCAUCAAAUAAUGUAUUCUAAGCAACCAAUUUUGAUUAAAAUCCUUAUCAGACUGCGCUAAACAUAUAAUAAAAUCAGAAAUUACUCGCAGCAUUGCAAGACUGAGGCAAUAGAUCAGUGACACCAAUUCCCCAGAUAUAUGUUGUGCUCUAACCUCCUGCAAUAAUUUUCAUCAGCGGCAACAAUAUCAAAACGAAAACGUCAAGUCUCGGUACCUAAAUAUCCUAAACUUUGGACCCCAAUUGACAUGGGCACUUACAGUGAGAAGUCACGAAAAGGUUAAAGCUCUUCCCUUUUUUCUAUUUUCCUUUUGCUGAUUGGUUUGAUCCGAAUUGAGAUAUUGUUCGGUAUCAUUGAUAAGUACUAUCAAAAUCGGGUUUACAGACUUGGGCUUGGGGAAACAAAUUCAAACAAAUAGGAACUAAGUUUGAAGCACAAUUCGCACAAUUCUCAAGCACGAAAACCAAUCUUCUAAAACUCUAAUGGAUCAGAUAAAAACUGUAAAUAAACAUGACUUGAGAGUCAAAAACCCAAGUCAAAACUUCAAAAAUUCAUUUUUCACAUGAAAUUGAACAAACAGGAGAAGCGUUAGAAAUCUGGGUCGAAAAUCAGACGCUGACAAUCACAGCUACCGAAAUCCUCUUUCUCUCUGUCACAAAAACGCGGUCUCAAUCCAAAAUUCGAUACCCAUAUCUCAAAUUGCCAAUAAAUGGAAAACACAGAACAAAUUUCGAAUUUACCAUGAAAAAAGAAAACCAAAUGAUAACCUAAAACCAAAACUGAAAUCAAACAAAGAAUUACCCAGACCGCUAUGCCAAUCGACCGGACAAGAACAACAGAAAAAGCAUUACACUUUAAUAAGAGGAUUGUGAAAAACAGGAAAAGAGAUCAAAGCAAUUGAACUAGUAAUUACAUUCAGCAUCGUUAGUUCCCAGCCAGGUCCAGUUAUCUCAUUUUGUAUUCUGGUGGCACUCGGAAGCAAACAGAAGAAAGAAAGAAAAAUCAUAUUGAUACUCAGAUUAAGCAAACAUGAAAAUUAAAUCAAGCAGAUGAAAGCAAAGUUUUCUUUCUUUGAAGCCACUAUAUAAUCGAUACAAUUUUCUUUAUUUGAGUACAAUGCAUGUAAAGUUUGUAACUCUUACCUGAAAAACUGCUUAAAAAUGAAACUCAAAUCAGCAAGCUAUAUACUGGAAUUCGGUGCAAUCGAUUAUUGAGGUGCUAGACUGCAGCAGAGGCAAAACCCGAAUCAGCUCAAAUCAAGGAAACAGAAAACCAGUCAAAAAUAACAAUGUGCAUCACAUUCUUCAUCAGAUAAAACAUGCUGUUAUGUUUGAAAAGAUAGUGACCGCCGAAGAUCAAAGCAAUUGAGCUAGUACUUACAUUCACCAUCUUUAGUUUCCUGCCAGGUCCAGUUAUCUCUCCAAUUUAGUUCGGGUGGCACUCGAUAGCAAAAAGAAGAAAGAAACGAAAAUCAGAGUGAAACUCAGAAAGAAAGAAAUACAAUUUUCUUUAUUUGAGUAUAUUGCACGUAAACUGUAACUUUACCUGGCAAACUGCUAAAAAAUGAAAAUCAAAUCAGCAAGCUAUAUACUGGAAGUCGGUGCAAUCAAUCAUUGAGGUCCUAGACUGCAGAACAGACAAACACCGAAUCAGCUCAAAUCAGGUAAUGGGAACGGUUAUCCUUCUUGAAAUGAUAAGCUCAAUCUCAAACAGUAUAAAAACCACACAAAAACGGAAUGAAAAAAUUUGAAAUACUGAGACAUGUUAACAUGUUAACAAAUCCUCCAAAAAUUGGAUCCCGUCCAAAAUCAACCAAACUCGACCGGGCACAUGUUAACAAAUCCUCCAUAGAUUUUCACUCAAAGAUAACUCAUCUGCUCUACACCAACAAUAAAAAAAAAUAUGGAUAGAACCAAAAGAAAAGGAUAAGAAAUACCGAGACAUUAGAGUUGCUCAAAAUAUGGACAAAUAAGAACAAAAUGGUCUUCAAUAGCGGGUUGUAUAGCAGAUAUACUGCUAAACUUAGUAUUAUAAAGUUCAUAACAGAUAUAAGGCAAUGAUGAAAGCCAGGUUCAGCUAACGACAUGACUUUCAGAUAUAAGGCAAUUUGAUUAUGAAAUGAAAACCUAAAUAGUUAAGUGCAGUCAUCAAGAUAAUCUUCCCAAUAGUUGAAAUCUGGAAACCGCGAGAUAGAAGAUGAAGUGAUUCACAACACCGUUAGUUGUUACCUGGUCGUAAGUACUGACUCCAAUACUCAAACUCGUACUCCUUCAGUCAAACUUGUACUCAUUCUUUAGUACAUUUCUUUACCUCAUGAUAAUCCAAAAAACAGAUACUUGAAUUAAUUUUGGUUUAACGAAAGGAUUGCUUAUCUAAAAGUGAAAACAAAAUUCAGUUUGAAAGACGCAUUCCUUACCAGAUUUAUAAGAUCUAAACCCGAUUGUCUUUCCACUAAGAUCCAGAGCUGCACAUUAAUCACCAAAUAGAAUUUUAAGCACAGAUAAAGGCAAACUCUAAUUAGGUUUUUUUUUUUUUUUUAACCUUUACAAUACUAAAGACAAAAGUAAAGAAGCAAUCAACCAGCAGCAUUGACAACCUGUACAAAUAAAAGGAAUAAAUUGCAAAACUGAUACAGCGAUACUGAAAUUGAAGAUCAUGACCUAGUUGAAAAAUCCAUGUUGAUAUGUAACACUAGGAAAAUUGCCCGUGCUGUGUUUCGAUGCCUUAUCCAAUAUUGCAUCUAGAAAUGUAGCAACAGAAUUACCCUGUUCAAAGAUUACAAGUAACAAUCAGACAAGAGAUGUAUACCUGGUCAAGCGUGCAACAUUUCUUUAUUAAAGGGCCGACAGGGCAGGCAUCACUUAGUUGUUCGUUUAGAUCCUUCAAUUCCCUUUCUAACUCUGAUAUCCCUUCAGAGUCCUGUUGAUCCAGAAUAACAAAUCAGUUAUUAAAGCUUCGUCAUAACAAAAGUAUCACUUUCUCCUACAAGCUAGCCCAAUAAGAACGGUGAAUAAAUAAAGCACAUUGAACAUGCACAUUACCGACAAAUUAAAUCAUUUUAGCUUGCAAUUUUGCAUAUCACAAAACAUGUUCUACCAAAAAAAAGUUACCUCUUUAACUGAAACUGGGGUAAUUGACCUUAUGUGAGAUGAAAUUGGUAGAAUAUUCAGUUCAUCACCCAUAACCACACAUGCUUUGCACGAUGCAAGUGAUAAUAAGAAACGCACAUUAAAACAGCCUGUAGCCUGGGAAUGGGAUUCGGUUUGAAACCUGUCAUGGACAUCCUGAAAUCAAGAAGCUCACAUAUGAGUACUACAGAUAUCUUUCACUUGAAAACUGCUGUGAAGAGCAGCUAUGACAUAAAUACUGAAUGUAUAGCACGGCAGUGCUACAACAGUUAACAAGUAAAUUUUUCAGAUAGAAAGAAAAUAACAAGCCUAAACAGUACGUCGCUAUGCUUAACUAUAGUGUCUCUGAGAGCUGUAGCAGUAGAAGAAUAGAUUCAUACCAUACCAUGGUGUAUAAGUUGGUGAGUGAGGUCAAAGAACGAAGCAACAGUAUGAUUAGUCCGCCACCCUCCACCGUCUCUGGAACCAUUUCUGAUUCUGCACUCCCUCCCUAAUGUUCCUUUCUCUAUGUCUCUCUAAUAAACCCCUCCCUAUUCAAAACCAAAAUGAAAAGUCAGCCAAUAUAUUCACAGCGGAAAAAAAAAUCACCUAAAUCUGAAAAAUGGACAUGAAGAAUAUGAAAGUAGUAACAGGAUUUUACUCGAUAAAUGAUUUGAAGACUAAUUACAAUUAUUUAAUAUAAAAGUCACCUGGAUUACUAUUUGUUACAUACAAAUCGGAACUGUAAAAGUAGUUUGAUCUAUGAAAAAUAGAAAAUAAUAUUAUUAAGAGAUGAUAAAGAACUAAUAGCAAAAUGAAAAAUAAACUUUAAAAGAAUCAAAGUGACCUGCAAACCCGGAAGAACAAUCAAAGUCAAGCCUCAGAUGCUGAUGCCCUUGCCACAAACAGUGUUAAUCAUGAACUUGGUUUCAUUGCUUUUGACCAUCCUCCCAACCAUGCCGCACAAGCCUUUCUGGAUGACAUUGCUAUUGUUUCUAGAGCUAGGAUGAGCUCUUCCUCUAAUUUUUAGUCUGUUUGUUUUUUCUGCUUUUUGACCAACGUAACAAAAAAAAGAAAGUCAAGCCGCAGAUACCUCACUCAAUCUUAGACGUAAAAUACUUGAGUAUCCAUUCUUUCACUCUUUCUAUUCUAUUGCAAAUCCACAGAGACAUUGAAAUGUGAAUGAAUUUGGCUAGAAAACAUAUCUUGUUUGCAUAUAUCGGAUGUAAAUUGUUUUUGGCCAUGCACAGCAAUCAAAUCUGCAACUAAAUAUUUUUGCUCAGAACUGUCAUCAUUAACAUUCAACGGGUACAUUUUUGGAUUUUCAAUCAAUUUUAGAUGCGUUGCAUGCAUUUUAUCUAUGUGUACAUAUUUCUGAUGAACAGCUAAAUCCUAAUGUGAGUUAUCAAAAGGUCUGCAAUCACACCCAAUGUGAAAAGUAAAAUAAACAGAACACAGACCUUCAAUACGGAAUUAAGUCCCAGCAACCUUCACCGAACCUGCAAAUAAAAAAAAUAAAAAAUAAAAAGUAUUCGCAAGACCCAAUCCAAAAUCCAACUGGUCAUGUGAAUAAAUAAUAGCACACUCAAACUCACAUAUCAAAAAAGGACUUCAUCCAUACAGUACUCAUUUAAUCACGUUGCAUACAACAUUGCAAUCCUAAAUUCUUAACCUCAUAAAAGCUGCAAACCCUCCUAUCGUAUCUAAAGAUGGAAAAAUCUGUCUGCAUUAUAAUAUAGCAGCAAUCCUUCUUAACAAUGCAUGGAGCUUCUCCAUUUAGAAGGCAAAAGAUCAACCAUUUUUGCAGCUCAUCAUCAGAAUUUUAUUUUAUUUUUACAUGUACAAAGUCUUUGAAGCCCUAUUAUUCUUCUCUGUUUAUUUCUGUUCUAAUUCACACAAAUAAUGCAAGCAGAUGAUGGAAAUAUGAUAUAUUCAAAGAUGGACAACAGGAAAUGCAUAAUUAGAUGUAAAUAUGGAUGUGAUUCUCAGUAUGCAAAUGUCAUCCAUUAACAUUCUAUUACAUGAUCAUCAACCUCUAUAGCAAAAAAAACAGUUUAUCAAACCUGACCAACUAAGCUUCGAUUUGAACAGCUGCUUGCUAACUGACUCUAUGUUCUUUUACACUCCAAUAGGCGUAAUGUGAAUCAUUUCUAGAAAAUAAACAGUUAGCCUUAAAGGUUAUAGUUUAUACAGUGAACAUAAGGAGACAAAAAUUUCUUAUCUAAUUUUUUAUAGACAUACUACCCCCUCACCUUCUAAAACAGGAAAAACCAUGAAUGAUGAUAAGCUAAUUGAGUACGGUAGCACUGUAAAACACACCAUUCAAAUCAUAAAGCUGAGCCACAAAGCCACACAGCAGAGCUCUUCAUUAAUUAGCAUGAACAAAAGAGAGAAGAAAACGAAAGGAAAAUCAACUUCAAAGAAAAACAAAAUCCGAACCCCAACUGAAAAGCAAAGAAAACAAGGACCAGCUCAAAUCCACAAACAUUAAAAAUGAUAUUGAGGGAAAAUUGAAAGGAUUACCAAGACCUCAAAAAGAGACGAAGUCACUAUCUUCCGGAGCCAACCAAAUCCAAAACCUCUCUAGUCCUCUUCACCAUAGUUUUAAUAGUUGAUACUGUAACGACAAUAAGAAAACCCAUAAUCAGAAUCCAAUUUAUACAAAACCCUAAGUAAAAAUGGAACAGCGAAUUUGUUGAAGGUCGCCAUAAAAUCCAUAACAGCAUUCUUCCGCAAUUCAGUAGUAGAAUAGAAUGCAGCUGCUACAUAUAUAAACAUUGUUUCCCCUCAAGCUAUAGAAUUACGAAAUGCAUAAUUAGGUUAAUACAAGUAAUUGGCCAUUAACCAAUAAAUUUUCAGCCUGUGUCACUAUCAUUAUCUUGAUAUUCAGUUUGGAUAGUUUUUGACUAACCAUCUAUAUAGAAGCAUAUAGAGAAAUUAGAGUUACCUUUACCACCUUAAUGCAACGUUUGCUUCCUGCGUGUAGUUUAUGCAUCUUAGAGCCUCAAAUGGUGCCUACUCCGCCACAUAAAAACGAAAAAUAGAAACAAAACUUCAUGAGAUUGAAGAACUGAGUAGUAAGCAAAAUUGCAUACAAAUUAAAACAACCCAACGGCAUUUAAUUGAGAUCACCAGAUCACACCUGCAAGUCUGUAACCAAAUAUAUAAGGUUCCUUCAAAAUGGAGAUAGGAAGAAAACCUGGAACUAACUUAAUGAGGCCACAAAAUCAUAAAUGUAAUCAAAUAUAUAGGAUUCCUGGUAGCUUAAUCUUCGAUAGUGCUUGUCUUUGUAUGUUUAACAGUUGUUGGGCAGAAAUGAAACUGUUUAGCUCAUAAUCAAAGCGAUAUAUAUUUUUUCAUGAUCAUAAUUAGGAAAAUGCAUACGCGAAGAUUAAAUGUCUAGUAUUUAUUCAGCUAAGUGUAGGCAUUAUUUUUUAAAGAGACAAAAAAAAAUGAACUAUAGUUUUCUCCCAGCCUUGCAAACGUUUAUUUAAAUCUGCAGACUUGAAAAGUUUAAUAGAACUUAUUUAACUUAAAAAGAUAAUUAGCCAGGUAAAAGCAUUUAAAACCAUAGGAUAACAAUGCCUACACUUAUACCUUUAGGAGUGGAACCAAUUUAAACUCCAUGAGAUCUUAAUCAUUCAGUUGUACCUUUUUACAAAACAAUCAAAAAAAAAAAAACAAUUCAUGAUACAAACAUCAAGAUCAACUGGUUAGUAUUUUUACUCAAGCUACCUAAAUUUUCUUCCAAGUAGGCAUAAGAGGGCAAAUAAUUAAAUGAGUUUUGUUGAGAUAUUUUGAUAAUAUGAGGUUUGUAUUUUUUGUAAGAAUUUGUAAUCUAUUAAAGCUGACUAACUAUUAUGUUGAAGUUUAUGCAUUCAUCUGUAUGUUGGGUAGUAUAGUAAAGUUGACCCUGUUUUAGGGAAGAAAGAAACACAAAUUUCACAUUCCCAGAUAAUAUAUGAGAUGCAGGGAUUUCAAAAUUUAAUGUCACUAUACAAAUAGAAAUUUUACACAACUUUAGAAAAGAAACAAACCUGAGUAAAAAGAAAAACCCAGAAAAAGAAAAAUGGAGGACUGCAAACAAAGGAAUAGCAGUGGAGAACUGAGACCAAUAAACCUUUACAUGAAAUCUGCAAAUAAUAAACAGAAAACGAUGAGAUUCUGCAACUAAUCGCUAUAAUUUUACAACAUUGUAAUUUACCCUCUCACUCACUACCAUCAUAACAGAACACAAAUAUAAACUUUCCAUAAAAAAUUUCACAGUUGGGAUAAAAUCAAGCUAUCCAUAUGGAUGCAACAACAUGUAUAUCAAACCUAAAACUCACUUUCCAAGCAUCAGUUUUCAUAUCUAGUCAGUCCCAUUAAUCCAGUUAAUACCAGCUCUCUAUAUUCACAACCUUCCCAAAGCAAACACCCAAAUUAUAACCAAUGCACAUUGCACUUCAGAUUAGUACUGUAUUUGUUCUUAAUUGAGCUCACAUCAAUACUUAUAUCUAAUUGAAGUCUUUAUUAGACUAACGCAUACUUUAUAAAAGCAAAAUUGGAACUUAAAUCAUAUAAAAAUUAUAAAAAAAGAAGUUCUAACAAUACUUAUCUUUCUGCUGGGUGGUUUUUGUAACUGAAGAUUCUGCUGGCCUUUUCUGCAAGCAGGAGUGAUGAAGAUCAAAAUUCUACCACUACCCAGAUUUUGCGAUCACUGGAAGCUGAUGAAGUGGCGCGAAAACGAAAGAAGAAUAAUGAUAGUGAGCGGAAGAAUAAAGACAGGGAAAGAAAGGUGUCGAGAUAUCUGGAAGAUUCAGAGGCGGCAAGAGAGAGAUGCCCAAAAAGUUCUGAUAUCUAAACCCUAGCAAGAUGCCCGCACGUUGCAGCGGGACUUUGGCGUAUUUCUGCUUGUGAUAGCUCCAAUGUUUCAAGCAACCACAAAUAUACUUGAGCUUGUUAAUAGACAGCAGCCCAUUCACAUUGUUUAUUAGGUCGGCCCAGAAACUAAGAAAGCAAAAAAGAAAAAAGGAGUGACAAUACAUUCCAUGAAAGCGCAUCUAACAAAAAGAAAAAUAUGGAAAAUCAUGAAAUCCGAUGAAUGAAUUUUUAACCUCUUUGUCACGCGGUAGCUUUGCUAAGUAGCUCUUUCAACCUCUUGCAAUUCCUUCAUUUAGAAUUGCUGGAUUUAGUAGCUCUUUCAACCUCUUCUUUGUUUUUUUUUAUGUGUAAGCUGUGCUCCCAAGUGUCUUGGACAAAUCAAUCUGCAUAAUUAUGNNNNNNNNNNNNNNNNNNNNAUUCUUGCGGUUUUUAAUGUAUGUCAUACUUAGGAAAUCUUAUAAUGAUUUCCACAUCAGUUAGUUGCAAGUGGUUGGUCCUCUACAUCAGUCCUAUUUGUCUGAGAGUCAAAAUUAAACAAACGCAGAUUACAGUCUAGUAAAGCCUAGGGGUGACGAAGGCGCAGAAGCAAUCAAAUAGAUAGGGAAAAAAAAAACAAAAGAAAAUAGAGUUAAGCGCACUACCUGAAUUUUUUUGAGAUGAAAAGGUUGACCUUCUUAGAUGGCGUAAGCUCCUUAAUCCAAGUAGUCUGGCUUUCUAUCGAAGAAAGAGUUGACAGCAAACAUCUUUGGAAGGAAAAUGAAUGCCUUUCUGAAGCUGAAGCUUGGGCUUUUCUAAAUCUCAGACACUGCUCACAAAACCUAUACAAUGAAAUAACAGUAGACAUGUGAGUUGAUCUUAUCAUGAUUGCUCAUAAAACCCCACAUAUAUAUAUAUAUAUACACAGUUGAGAUCAGAGACGAACGUCCGCACGCCCUUAAAGUGCGGACGUCCCUCCGUUCUCCACCGUACGGCUCCGACGACGGCGCGCCUCCACCCUAGCGUGAGAGAAAGUGAUCAAGGACGCUGCUGGAGGCCGCUAAGGUGGAGGCGCACCGUCGUCGGAGCCGGACGGUGGCGAACGGAGGGACAUCCGCACUUUAAGGACGGUACGGAUGUCCUUUUUGGAACGGCUCCGUAUAUAUAUAUAAAUAUAUAUAUAAACCAAUGUCAAUUUUGCAUUCCUUUUAAACUGUAUGAACCUACCCUCGAUUUUUCAAUUCAAGAAAAUGCCAGAGUAAAACUAUAAGAAAGUAGAUCCUUACACUGGUUGACUGUAAAAGAAACCAAUCGAUUGAUAUAACUAAAAACACAGAUUGCUGCUUUCCAUAUUACAUGCACAGUAAUAUAAUUAGAAGCGCUGAAGUAAAAAGUAAUGUAAUUAAUAUACCUUUUCAGAGUUGAUAUGCCAAGAAGGAUCCAAAAGUUUACACCUGCAAAAAGGAUGCACAUUGAGAUUUUAUCUAAAACAGAAAUUGAAAACAGACUGAAAAUAAAUGAAGCCUAAAAUUGUCUUCAACACAACAAAAAAUUGAUCUAUUAUGCUAUUAUGCCCAUGACUUCACUGUCCAAAUCAAGAAAGUCGAUCAUGAAGAACUAUUUCAUGAAGCAUCACUGUGCAUUUCAAUUCAAUGACAUAACGAUGUGCACUACUCUUGAUAGUAGGCCAUGUUGAAUCAAAUGGCCGGUUGAGAGGCCACAGAGAAACUCAAAUUCUUACAUUGAAAACUGAAACUCUGGCACAAAAUGUAAUAGUGUUUUCAUUAUAUGCAACCACCUAGUAUUUAGUUACCUACUAAAUGACAGAAAGGAACCCCAGUAGUUUUGUGAAGGACGGAAGGAGGCGAACAAACUAAGAAAAAAAGGGGAUGUAAUUACCCUAACGUCUGAUUGUUUCUUAUGUUCACCAAUUGGAGCCUUAUGUUCCCAAUCCAUGGCACCAGAUUUCAGAUUCUCAAGGACAUUUCUUUACACCAACCCAAAUACUCGAUUACGCAAAAUUUCACAAAAAACACACCUUUUGUUCGACCAAGAUUUUCGACCCAUUUCUACCCACCCAAUCAUCAUCAGUCCAAAUUAUAUGACCAUCUCAGUCAUUCAAACAAAGAAUGACUAUGCCCUUUAAAUAGGAAAUACUAAAACAUCUUUAUAUAGUUUCCAAUAUAUAAAGCCAAUGCCAAACCUUAAUCAAAGCCUUGAGUCUCCUCUCAAAUAUAUCAUUAUUUCUAUGGCGAGGUAUCAUGGUGCUUUACAGAUAAUUAGUUUCAUUAUCCUGUAUGCAUGACCAGAAUAAGGAACAUACAAAAAUCAAGAUUAACUGGUUAGUAAUUUUCGGUCAGCAUUUUACUGGGCCUACCUAUAUUCUCUUCCAAGCUCGCAUAAGUAAGCAAAAUCAUUAAAUGAGUUUUGUAGAGCUUUUUGAUAAUAUGUAAGGUUUAUACUUUCUGAAGGAAUUUGUAAUCUAAGAAUACUAACUAACUAUCAAGUAGGUGUUUAGGCAUUCAUUUGUAUAGUGGGCGGUAUAGUGAAAAUCAAAUUCUUUUUAAAUCUGCAAAUAGUAUACCUUCCCUCACAUUUCCAAAUAAUAUAUGAAAUGCAAGGCUCACAUUGUGCAUCUCACACAGAAUGCAUGUAAAUUGCAGUCUAUGAAUUGGAUAUACCUGUGACGCAGACCACUUUUAAACACUUCAUUUCAAGCAACACCAACUUGUACCUGAAGCAACACAUAUAGAAAAAGAACAUAAGCAUAAGACCAUAGACAACUAUAAGCGCACUUUAACAGUUAAGAAAAAUUAACAAUAUCAUUUCCAUAGGGUUUUUACAUCUGCUGAAACUUCUACCCUAAGAUCGGGUAAUGUAAGUCAUAUACAGAAAAGCUGAAAACUAAAUAACUCAAUGCAACAAAGCAGGUUCUUUUUUUUCACUUCUUGUUUUUCGCGGACAGUUUUUUCUUUUCACUUUUAUGACACAGAGAAAUGAGACUAUUCCUAUGCAACCCCUUAAAAUAAAAUUAUUCAUAUAAUAGGCCAAUAUUAUACUAAUUAGCAAGAGAAAAAGAAAGAUGAUAAAAAGAAAACAGAUCCAAAAUUCAAUGCAGAACCUCAAUUCAUUACCAUCAAUAUAAUAAACUAAUUGAGCUCACAUCAAUACUUAUAUCUAAUUGAUGUCUUUAUUAGACUAACGCAUACUUUAUAAAAGCAAAAUUGGAACUUAAAUCAGAUAAAAAAAAGAACACAGUUCUAACAAUACUCAUCUUUACUGCACCCUUGUCACUAAUCUGUCCAAGCUCUAGUCUUUGCUUGAGCCACACAGCUUCCCCAAAAGUACCAACCUGAGUAUACAAACACGAAUUACAUUUAAGGGAAUAUUUAAAAACCCAAUAAAAAACUUUCUGAUACCCAAGAAUCUACAAACCGCGAGCCUUGAGAACACACCAUAUCUAGCUGCCAGUAACACUCUUCACCUGAGCAAUUCCCUAGGAAUCAUGAAGAACAACACCAAUUUUAGAUACUAAAAUUAAUAAGAAAAGUAUUUUAACAAUUCCAUAAUAAAUUUUAAAUAUUUUACUCCACAUAUUCUUUCUCACAAACUCACCUUGAUCUAACACAAAGGAUUGAAACCUUCAAGAUUGUGAUUGCUUUUGUUUAAUAAAAAAUCAGUGAGCUGCAUGCAACUUCAAUGAUAAAAUAUGGUGAUCUAAAUUACAUAGUUUUAGAUAAUAAUGGGAAAAGAAUAAAAUGUUACUCUAAAUUUAGUCAACGCACCUUUACCAAAAGAAAAUUCACAGAAGCAAUUCAGAGGAUAAAUAUGAUCCUUCCAUACAGAAAGAAAUAAAGAAACUGCAUUUCUCAUGAGCUUGGUUUGAUCUGCUUCGAUAAUCCUCCUGCUCAUGCUGCCCAGGCUUUCCUGGAUGAAGUGAGUUCUGUUUCUAAGGCCAGGAAAACUGGCAAUUGCUUUAGCAUUUAGUUUCUUCUUUUGUAACCAAAAAAAAAAAAUGAGCCAACAAUAGACAUCCCGUUGGCUUUCAAAUGAAAAUUUGCCCACAAAAUGAGCUAUUGACGUAUAUAAGAAAAGAUAAUAUUUGUUUAGAGUUUUUACACGUUUAGUAUGUGAUUGAUGAUAUGCAUGUCACUUUGAUGCAGUAGACAACAUACGGACAUGAAAUAUUAUUGAAUCCCGAACUCAUACCCAAGCUUUUUUUAAAACAGAGACAGGAACAUGACCAAAACACAAACAAAAAAUCAUAAUCAAUUUCAAAUUGAAAUGCAGAGGUCCAAAACCCGCUAUGUUUAAAUGCACCAACCUUGUAAUCAGUUUAUCAUUUACUAUAUCAUUGAGCAUGACUUUUACAAUUGAUUCAUUCUCCUAAUGGUUCAAAAAAUCAUGUGAACGUCAUAUUUGUUCAAAACAUUAGUAGCUCAUAAUCAAAGCGAUAUAUAUUUUUUCAUGAUCAUAAUUAGGAAAAUGCACAUGCGAAGAUUAAAGGUCUAGUAUUUAUUCAGCUAAGUGUAGGCAUUGUUUUUCUAAGAGACAAAAAAAAACAAAAAUGAACUAUAGUUUUCCCCCAGCCUUGCAAACUUUCAUUUAAAUCUGUAGACUAGAAAAGUUUAAUACAACUUAUUUAACAUAAAAAGAUAAUUAGCCAGGUAAAAGCAUUUAAAACCAUACGCUAACAAUGCCUACGUUUGAAUAGAUAGUGACUACCGAAGAUCAAAGCAAUUGAGCUGGUACUUAUAUUCACCAUCUUUAGAUUCCAGCCAGGUCCGGUUAUCUCUCCAAUUUAGUAUUCGGGUGACACUCGAUAGCAAAAAGAAGAAAGUAAGAAACAAAAAUCAGAUUGAAACUCAAAAAGAAAGAAAUACAGUUUUCUUUAUUUGAGUAUAUUACAUGUAAACUGUAACUUUACCUCAUAAACUGCUAAAAAAUGAAAACCAAAUCAGCAAGCUAUAUACUGGAAUCGAUCAUUGAGGUCCUAGACAGCAGAACAGACAAACGCCGAAUUAGUUCAAAUCAGGUAAUGGGAACGGUUAUCCAUCUUGAAAUGAUAAGCUCAAUCUCAAACAGUAUAAAAACCACACAAAANNNNNNNNNNNNNNNNNNNNUUCAAGAUUGUGAUUGCUUUUGUUUAAUAAAAAAUCAGUGAGCUGCAUGCAACUUCAAUGAUAAAUUAUGGUGAUCUAAAUUACAUAGUUUUAGAUAAUAAUGGGAAAAGAAUAAAAUGUUACUCUAAAUUUAGUCAACGCACCUUUACCAAAAGAAAAUUCACAGAAGCAAUUGAGAGGAUAAAUAUGAUACUUCCAUACAGAAAGAAAUAAAGAAAGUGCAUUUCUCAUGAGCUUGGUUUGGUCUGCUUAGAUAAUCCUCCUGCUCAUGCUGCCCAGGCUUUCCUGGAUGAUUUGAGUUCUGUUUCUAAGGCCAGAAGAACUGGCAAUUACUUUAGCAGUUAGUUUCUUUUUUUGUAACCAAAAAAAAAAAGAAAUACAGAAACUCAGAGAAAUUCCACCUCCUCAGAAGUACUAUUACAACUGUAAAACAUAUCAGGCUCCAUGCAGAUACGAUAGGUAUGUCAAGGAAAUCAAAAGCCAACAAUGGACAUCCCGUUGGCUUUCAAAUGAAAAUUUGCCCACAAAAUGAGUUAUUGACGUAUAUAAGAAAGAUAAUAUUUGUUUAGAGAUUUUACACGUUUAGUAUGUGAUUGAUGGUAUGCAUGUCACUUUGAUGCAGUAGACAACAUACGGACAUGAAAUAUUAUUGAAUCCCGAACUCAGACCCAAGCUUUUUUUAAAACAGAGACAGGAAGAUGACCAAAACACAAACAAAAAAUCAUAAAUUUCAAAUUUAAAUGCAGAAGUCCAAAACCCGCUAUGUUUAAACGCACCAACCUUGUAAUCAGUUUAUCAUUUACUAUAUCAUUGAGCAUGACUUUUACAAUUGAUUCAUUCUCCUAAUGGUUCAAAAAAUCAUGUGAAACGUCAUAUUUGUUCAAAACAUUAGUAGCCAUAGUCGAGCCCAAUCUUCGAUAGUGCUUAUCUUUGUAUGUUUAACAGUUGUCAUGCAGAAAUGAAACUGUUUAGCUCAUAAUCAAAGCGAUAUAUAUUUUUUCAUGAUCAUAAUUAGGAAAAUGCACAUGCGAAGAUUAAAUGUCUAGUAUUUAUUCAGCUAAGUGUAGGCAUUGUUUUUUUAAAAGUACAAAAAAAAAAAAAUAGAACUAUAGUUUUCUUCCAGCCUUGCAAACUUUCAUUUAAAUCUGUAGACUUGAAAAGUUUAAUAGAACUUAUUUAACAUAAAAAGAUAAUUAGCCAGGUAAAAGCAUUUAAAACCAUAGGAUAACAAUGCCUACGUUUGAAUAGAUAGUGACUGCCGAAGAUCAAAGCAAUUGAGCUAGUACUUACAUUCACCAUCUUUAGUUUCCAGCCAGGUCCAGUUAUCUCUCCAAUUUAGUAUUCGGGUGGCACUCGAUAGCAAAAAGAAGAAAGAAAGAAACAAACAAACAAAAAUCAGAUUGAAACUCAGAAAGAAAGAAAUACAGUUUUCAUUAUUUGAGUAUAUUGCAUGUAAACUGUAACUUUACCUCAUAAACCGCUAAAAAAUGAAAACCAAAUCAGCAAGCUAUAAACUGGAAUCGAUCAUUGCAGUCCUAGACAGCAGAACAGACAAACGCCGAAUCAGUUCAAAUCAGGUAAUGGGAACGGUUAUCCAUCUUCAAAUGAUAAGCUCAAUCUCAAACAGUAUAAAAACCACACAAAAACGGAAUGAAAAAAUUUGAAAAUUCAAAAGCACUCAACUUAUCUAUUCGAUCUGAGCAGAGGAUUGGGAACUUCCCAAAUCUAUAGUCCGACGAAUCCAUCCGGGGGAAAACUUAUAUUGCACUCUUUGCAUUCAAACACAUGCCACCAAAAAAAAUUCAAAUGAAAACACAAUAAAAAUUCAAAUGCAAACGCAAAAGCCAAUAAAGUCAAGCAUAACAACAUCAAGAAUAUACCUGAGAAACUAACAAAUUGGAUCCCACCCAAAAUCAAACAAACUCGACCAGGCACAUGUUAACAAAUCCUCCAUAGAUUUUCACUCAAAGAUAUCUCAUCGGCUCUACACCGAAAAUGAAAAAAAAAUAUAUAUGGAUGGAACCAAAAGAAAAUGAUAAGAAAUUGCUCAAUUUCAAAAAGCAAGCCAGUUAUGUGCUAUGACAUAGGAAUAUUACAGAGAAGUUAAAAACAAAAAUAUCUCGGAUAAACCUGAAGUCUAAAGCUUUACCGGCAAAAUCAUACCAGAAAUGAACACAACCAUCAAAUAUAAGUAGCAAUCGUAAAAGCUUCAAUGGACCAACCAGNNNNNNNNNNNNNNNNNNNNACGAUCAAAGACGAAAGCGGCUUGAACUCUAUUUAAAUCACAUAACACAGUUAUGGGAACAAAUUAAACCCUGGACAAGGAGCAAUAUUAGAAUCUCGAAACAGAUCUAAAAAUCAAAAGCAUACAAAACAUGCACAAACCCAAAUACUAUUAUCUCUUUCACUUUAUCAAUGCUAGUCUCACUUUGAAUUUUCUGCUAGUCUCAUUGACUCACGUUAUUGCUCGUUACAAAUCAUAUUCAAAUUAUAGAAAUAACCCAAUAGCACAAAGUGGAGAACUGUAAAGUACUCACCAGAGCUUGCAGCAGUUGUAGCUGCGAUAUCAAUAACUAACCUGGAAAAUAUGCAUACAUGAUUUUCAAUGGGAUCUGUGGCCAUAUGCAUAAAUAUUUGAGCAGAAACUAUCUCAACGGCAUUUCAUGUCAUCUAACCGUAAAUCUAGACCGUUAAAAAAAUGAGGUCACAAUAGGGUCGAAAACAAAACAUACCGGAUAAAAAAGAGUGAUAAUUAAGAGAAAGGUUUACUUACUUUCUGCCUAAAAAUUGGCCCAUCCGAGUUUUGAGCCGCCUCUAGGGAACCGGUACUUUGUGGGCAAAGUACAUAUACACAUUUCUUUGUUAAAUUGCUCAUCCGUUCAGCAACAUAUUACAAAAGAAUAUAAUCAAUCUUCCCCAUAUCCACAAAAUGACCAAAAAAAUAAAUAAAUAAUUGAAUAGCUGGUUUUACUGUUGAAGAUAAGUAAUAAAACUGUUCAUGAUAAGUUAUAAAACUUCAUUACCAAUAUGACAGAAAACAAAAACAUGAAUAACAAAGGCGCAUGUGUCACUAUCAGCAACACAUGCAAAAAACCCUCAUUUUGUAAAAGAAACCUGCAUGGAAAAAGCUUGUGCAAGUUCAAGUUGUGGUAUAUCUAGUAUUUGUGUCAAUUUAUUAAACUUGACCGUUACACCAAAUGUAUCUCUUAUUUUUAAAUGAAGAGCUUGUGUGUUGGGCUAACGCAUUGGUAUUAAAAGUAUCUCUAUUAAACUUUGACCAUUACACCAAAUGUAUCUCUAUUAAACUUGACCAUUACACCAAAUGUAUCCCCAAUUUAACAAAUGUAUCUCUUACUUGCACAACGCAGUUCAAGAGAUUGACAAAUUGACCAAUGCGGAGUUUGAUUUGGUAAAAGAGUAGGUACACCAGAUUUGACAAAAUAUAAUUUCAACUCAGAAAGAAAGAAAUACAGUUUUCAUUAUGUGAGUAUAUUACAUGUAAACUGUAACUUUACCUGAUAAACUGCUGAAAAAUGAAAAUCAAAUAAGCAAGCUAUAUACUGGAAUUCGGUGCAAUCGAUCAUUGAGGUCCUAGACUGUAGAACAGACAAACGCCGAAUCUGCUCAAAUCAGGUAAUGGGAACGGUUAUCCUUCUUGAAAUGAUAAGCUCAAUCUCAAACAGUAUAGAAACCACACAAAAAUGGAAUGAAAAAAUUUGAAAAUUCAAAAGCACUCAACUUAUCUAUUCCAUNNNNNNNNNNNNNNNNNNNNNNNNNNNNNNNNNNNNNNNNNNNNNNNNNNNNNNNNNNNNNNNNNNNNNNNNNNNNNNNNNNNNNNNNNNNNNNNNNNNNNNNNNNNNNNNNNNNNNNNNNNNNNNNNNNAGCAUAGUAAGGCAUUCAGCACCUGUUGACCAAUGAGAAGGUUUUCUCGUUUGAUAUCUCAAUGAAUUACGUGCUUUCCAUGACAGUAUAUAAGGGAUGGGGCCAAUGAUGCAACAUACUGCAAAUACCUCAUACGAAAAAAAAUCAGAAUUUCUAUUCUAUAAACAACUGAAAGAGAAUGAAUUCGACACCACAAAAAAACUUACGGUGGCUGCACGUCUUUCACUAAAGUAUUUACACUUCUGGAGUUCCUCUUGUAGUUCACCUUUGGCGGCAUAUUCCAAUAUCAAAUAAACUCGUUUCUGCAAUAAUUAAAAUUCCACUACAAGGGUGAGUGACUCUGUACCAUAGUGGUUCCAUUAACUAGGAGACGUUCAAUUUGGUGCAAACAUAAACCACCUAUGAGCACUAUACCUGAUCAUAAAAGUAGCCAUAAAGACGUAGAAUAUUGGGAUGGCGAAGAUGACUUUGUAUUUCAACUUCCCGACGAAACUGAUGCUCAACCUGAGAUUGUUGCAACUGGCUCUUGAAGAGGACUUUGAGUGCCACUAUGUGAUUGCUCUGUUUCAGGCAUAGAUACAAAUCAAGAACUGUGUAUACACACCACUAAAAGCAGGUAAACAGAGAGAUACAACACCACGAUGAUGCAUAGCAAACACUCAUUUCCAACUUAAAAUUGCAAAAGGACACUCCACAUCAUUUGAUAAUAAAGCACAUUGUCGAAUCAAGAUCCUCCUAGUUAUAACUCCUUCCCAUACAUCUUUAGUCACAACUCUUGCACCCGCCAAAUCUGCCAUCAGAGAAGCAUUCAGGAACAUCUAGUCAUGAUAUCUGCAAAUUCCGAAGGUGAUUAUGAGUUCUCCUUUGAGCAAAAAACAGGCAAAUUAGGGCCAUUAAGAACAUCAUCAAUACAUGGUUGAUAGUGGGCAUGUUAGAUUAACACAGAAGACAGUCUCAUACAACAUGAAAACAAAAUCAAUAUAUUAGGUCUUAUUAUGAUCAUAUUAAAAUACAUGCUUUGCACUAGAUACAUAUGCAACGCAGUACUCUCUAACCGGAGCGCACAUGCUGUGAUGUCUCAAAUUCUGGCUCCUUUGGUCUUGUUAAGGUGAGUUUAGGCUUCAUCUGAAUAAUAGAAACAACAUCAACCUCUAUAGCAAAAAAAAAUUUAUUAAACCUGACCAAAUAAAUAUAUAUGUGUAAAGAAGUGAAAGAACUUUAAGCAGGGUGAAGCUCCUUUACGUGUGAGAGAGAACCAUUAGCAUGCGGCAGCGGCAAGUCUCUGGUACUUGAUUGGAACCUGUUCAUCAUUUCUGCCAUUGAAACAAAUGGUGUUGCAGGUUCCCGAACAUCAAUCUGUAGAUUGGGAAAGGAUCAACUACUCAAUUCUGAUAUUGCAUAACAACAUGGAGUGCAAAAGAGGGAUGAAAAGCACAAACCGUCCUGUCCUCUUUUUGAGUUUUAAUAGCAGUUGAAAAAUGUGUGGCACUGGUAUGACCCAGUUUUGACUUGUGGAGGAAUGUUUGGGGUUUGGGAUUAAGAGUCUGCAUUUUAAGGGCACACAAGGAAAAACAGUCAUGGGAAAUGUCUAGAAAUAAUCUUCACCAAACGACAACAAAGAGGCUUCUAGAUGUGAGUCAACACAAAUUACAGAACUAAAAGUAACCUGUCUAGAUCUUCCAGCAUCCAACUUCUGCCGUGAUUCUCCUGAGCUAACAUGGAUGUGCCAGUUGCAUUUUUCACGUUCUCUUCUCUGUAAGUUUCAGUCAAAUAUACAAUUAGGACAUAGCACUGGCGUAUAAUGAAUUCAAGAGAUACCAGAUAAAGUGAAGCACGCCAACCUUUUCAUAGUAUACUGUUUAACAUGUGAAGAGUGCAAGUGACUUUUUCCCUUAGUCCCUGAUGGGUUUCUGACCAUACUUGAUAUCUUUUUAGCUGUCUGGUGGUUUUGGAAUCACUUAGAAGAUCUCCCUUCUUGAAAUGCAUAGGAGACAUGAACAGAAAAAAAAGUUACCCACUGAUUGAGAACAAAGAGCAAGUACAGAACUGCUGAAUUGAGAACAAAGAGGUAUCAAUGCUGGUAGACAGUGACAGUUUGGAGUAAGUACAGAAUCUGGAAAAAAUACUGAAGCUGGGAAUUAUAUUGGCAAAUGAACACUAAUAAUUGAAAAGCUUAAACCUUUGGGUGAUUGGGAGGGAGAGGGAGAUGGGUUUUACCUGAGGAAGAUCUGAAAGUGAUUGUGCUUGGAGUGCUCUGCGGCUGCUGCAACUUACACCACAAUGGCUCUGCUUUAUGGUUUCUGAAAUUGUGGCGAGGUAUAGGUUUUAAAGGCGCUUCAAUGGGCCUCCCUCAUAUCUCUGAAGCUCAUUCAAAGGAUUUGGACUACCAUGUCGAUAAGAGCAGCGCUUUAAUCAAAACUCCCAAACUCCCAAGAGAGGUGAUCAGCGAAUAUUGCCCAAAAAUUAAACAAAUAAGGCUAAGCCCAUAAACUUGAAUUCAGCAAGAACAGAAGAAAACAUUCCCACCAAGCUUACAAAAAUCUCAAUUGAAACAGUUUACUUGACUAAAUUAUGGCUCCCUAUGCUUGAUCGAACACCUCCGGCANNNNNNNNNNNNNNNNNNNNCAAAAAAAAAAAAGACAAACACAUCGGUAGAAUCCAUUAUAAAGAAUACACCAGAAAAACUAUCUCUUCUAAUCAAAAUCCUCAAAACACACUUAAACCAAAUAAACUACCAAUAAACAAAUCUCAAAUGCAGAAACACACCAAGGCAGUGAAAAGAUGUAUCCCUGAAUGAAAUCAAAUCAAAUCAGCAACAGAUCCUUACUUCAGAAACUGAUAUCUGCAUAUCCAAAAGUUCAUGUCUCAACCAUCUUUGAACAACCUGCAACAAAAACUAAUCACAAUUACUAAAUGGUAGUAAUAACAAUAUAGAGUAAAUUGCUAGUAAUAACAAUAUAGAGUAAUAACUAAUCACAUAUACGGUUAAAGAAAUUACCACCAAACAGAAGAGAAUCAAAACCAAACAACCCACAAUUAUUAUCCAAAAGGACAUCCUAAAUAUUCAUCAACUGUUCAUGAACACCUACUCUGUUUUCAUUGUCAUUUGAUGUAUCUCCAACAAUGAGUUCUUUCAUUUUCUAUGAAGAUUUGUUUGAUCACUUCGGAUUCUUGAAUUAAUUAAUGGUUCUUCAUCUCCAAAAUGCUAAAAAGAACACUGUUCUAUUUCUUCAUCAUUGUUCGUUCCACCGUCGAAUUGGUCCAGUAUUGUGUCUGCAUCUUUAUCUUGAAAGGCAUGUCAAUCCACUGUUUCCACAAUUGCUAUCUUCUUGGCGAAAACAUGCUCCUGAUGUUCUUUCAUUCUCCAAGUUCUGAAAAAGAAAAAAAAAUCCAUUUGUUGAGGAUAUUCGAUUUCCAUAUGCUGCGUACAUGUGCAGUGCAUCAUUCAUUUUAAAAUGCAUGAUCAAUCAAGCUCAGUGGGAAUACAACUGAGGACAUUGUAUCAUAAUCCACUGUUUCCAUAAUUUUCCUCACUAUUUAUUCCAAUCAGAUUUCAUCCCACGUGCCAAACAUAAUCAUAAUAGUUUGAUAAAAAUAAAGAGAAAGUUGUCAUUCAAUGGUCAACAAUCAUGAUGAAGAUUACCACGUAACUAUGGAAAAAGGUCGGGUUUGAGCAGCAAGUGAAGAGAUAUCAGGAUGUUGGCAUUACCUCAUUUGCUUCUUUGUUACUUCUACAACCGGAAGACGGUUACUGUGAUUAUCUUUCAUCUUCUUGAAAGCUUCCAGUAUCAAGUCUUCACUGUGGACACUAAUAACCUGGCUAAGAAAGCAAAGGAAUAUUAAAAUUGGGACACCAAAUUUACCAUCAAUCAAGCUUAGUAGUCAGGAAGACUUACCUCAUCAGAGGACAUAAAACGAAGUCCCAUGCGGCAACGCAGUCGAACUAAUCCUAACUUUGCAUUGCUUCAAACCAUGAGUAAUGUAGUUAUUUAUAGUGGCUCGGCCACGUUCUAUCACAGCUACAUUCCUCAGCAUAUAUUUUGGAAGUAGUAGCAAGACGCUCAAUAUUUGAGAUGGCUUCCCAAAUAUUUUGCCUCUGUAAUAGAACAACAAUGUCAGUCAGUCAUUCACACAUGCAUUNNNNNNNNNNNNNNNNNNNNNNNNNNNNNNNNNNNNNNNNNNNNNNNNNNNNNNNNNNNNNNNNNNNNNNNNNNNNNNNNNNNNNNNNNNNNNNNNNNNNNNNNNNNNNNNNNNNNNNNNNNNNNNNNNNNNNNNNNNNNNNNNNNNNNNNNNNNNNNNNNNNNNNNNNNNNNNNNNNNNNNNNNNNNNNNNNNNNNNNNNNNNNNNNNNNNNNNNNNNNNNNNNNNNNNNNNNNNNNNNNNNNNNNNNNNNNNNNNNNNNNNNNNNNNNNNNNNNNNNNNNNNNNNNNNNNNNNNNNNNNNNNNNNNNNNNNNNNNNNNNNNNNNNNNNNNNNNNNNNNNNNNNNNNNNNNNNNNNNNNNNNNNNNNNNNNNNNNNNNNNNNNNNNNNNNNNNNNNNNNNNNNNNNNNNNNNNNNNNNNNNNNNNNNNNNNNNNNNNNNNNNNNNNNNNNNNNNNNNNNNNNNNNNNNNNNNNNNNNNNNNNNNNNNNNNNNNNNNNNNNNNNNNNNNNNNNNNNNNNNNNNNNNNNNNNNNNNNNNNNNNNNNNNNNNNNNNNNNNNNNNNNNNNNNNNNNNNNNNNNNNNNNNNNNNNNNNNNNNNNNNNNNNNNNNNNNNNNNNNNNNNNNNNNNNNNNNNNNNNNNNNNNNNNNNNNNNNNNNNNNNNNNNNNNNNNNNNNNNNNNNNNNNNNNNNNNNNNNNNNNNNNNNNNNNNNNNNNNNNNNNNNNNNNNNNNNNNNNNNNNNNNNNNNNNNNNNNNNNNNNNNNNNNNNNNNNNNNNNNNNNNNNNNNNNNNNNNNNNNNNNNNNNNNNNNNNNNNNNNNNNNNNNGUUCAGUAGAAACAAUUCAGUACCUGAAAGAAGUCAAGGGAAGCUGGAUGCUUUUAGGGAGUAUAUGACGCAUGUCGGAGACCCAAUAAGCCGCCAUUGACGGCUUUCCGUCUUCCGCAAUUAGAAUCUCAUAUUUACCCAAGUCCUAAUCUCAUAUGUAAGUAGAAAUAUAAACAACUUGCAGAGGAUCAACUCUCUUUUCUCCUUCUCUGCAGUUAGUCGGAGUCUGCCUUUCUCUCCCUCUCUCAGUCUCACCCGGCCUCUCACUCAUCUCCUAAAAUCAAGAAAAACGAACUCAAAUAAACCCAACAUUGAGAUUCAAGAGAAACAAAAUCGAACUACCACUCACCGAAACAAAAAACCACCAAAAGAUGCAGAAUCAAAAUCGAUGCUCUCGAAACUUCAGGAUAGAGCAGAACGAAGAGAUGAAAUGCGAGAGGGAAGAGAACAGAAAUUGAAAUUGAAAACGAUAACAGAAAUUGAAAACUUACCAAGAAGGAGAACGAAACGAUUCAACUCCGAUUAACACUGUUCUCUGAUCUCCUCUUCCUCUCUUCCUCUCUCUUCCAAAUCGCCUCUUUCUCUCUCUCCCUACGAUUUCUCUGAUCACCUCUUCCUCUCUCCUUCUCUCUUCCCAAUCGCCUCUUUCUCUCUCUCCCUACGAUUGAAAACCAAGCUUUCCGCAUCCACCCCCUCUCUCCGCUGCUGCUCUUCUCUCUCGCCUGUGGCAAGUCGCGAGAAGACUCGCGAAAGGGCAAAGGAAGAAAAAGUACAGGAAGAAAAAGCCCAAGCCCGAGCGACAUGCAGCCCAAGCCCGAGCGAGACUGCACUGUUCUGAAUCAUUUUAUGCAUUAAAAGUUUGGAAACAUUAAGACUGUGAAAAAGAUAGAUACAUCCAAAACAAAACAAAAAACUAACAGGGACAUAAAUACUUUAUUCUAGCUUGUGAGAAGUAAAAGAAAAGAUGAAAUACUGAACAUUUAUAUAAAACCAUUUAGUUUAUCUAAUUGGAUAAAAAAUAAAUAAAUAAAUAAAAAGUGUACCACACCAAACAAAAACAUUAUCAAAACCGAUCAACAUGACAAAAUCCCCUAAUAGAAAGAAAGAGAGAGACUUACAGUUGCUUCAUUCUGGCAAUAACUACAGGAAAGAUAUGAACUCAGCAAGUCAUGCGUUGUACGUGAACACAUAAAGCUCAAAUUAGCAGCUGAAUUCUUCAAAAGAGAAUAAAUAUGAAGAAACUGACCAAAUUCAUUUUCACCUGACUGCACAGCUGACCAAAUGGGUUUGCAAUGAAACUCAAUGUGAUGAUGAUGGCAUUUUUCCCCUAAAUUAGAAUUAGGUGAUCAUUCUCUUUCUCUCCUCCUCCGUCAGUUGUCCCCGAAAACCAAAGUAAGUAGAGAAAGAAGAGAUUAAACAAAUUUGAGAGAAAAUUGAAAGCCAAUUACCCUUAACAGAAGCAAAACUCGAAUCAACAAUUCAAUGUAAAUCGGUACAAUCGCUAAUCGAGGUCUCCUACUGCAGCAUGGAGAAAACCUGAAUCAGUUCAAAUCAAGGGAAACAAAAAAACCCAAUCAAAAAUUCGAAUAACCCAAUCAACUUUUGAGAAGGAGACUAUCGAAAUGAGAAGAAGAAAGAGGAAAGAGCACACCCUCUCCACCCAUGGUUGAGACGAAGGAGACCGGACUUGCCGCAGAAAGUAGCUAGAGUUUUCUAUGGGUUUAGUGUAUUUUCAGAAGAGCGAGAGUCAGAGAACAACGUACAUCCUCUGAAAAGAGGAAUUUGCACGGCAGUCAAGGGCUCUUGGAGGAUAUCCAUUUCCAUCUAUCUCUGGAAGUUUCGGGAGAGCGCAAGAAGACGCAGAAGAUAAGAAAUAACACGCGGCAAGAGCCAAGAGACCAGCGAAUAUCAAGGCCCAACACCAGGCGCAUCACUGUUCAGAAUGCGAACAGUAAGGCGGCGCCAGCGCCUAUAAUAGAUAGUUAAAUAUCCAACACGCUUCUGUGCACAUUUUGCAGCCUUAACCUGUUACAAGGACCGAUAUGGAGAUGAAUAUAUAAGCCAUGUUGCUGUGCCAGCUUGAUGAACUUGAUCACAUCAUAUCUAUCCUCAAAAAUACUAACAUUUUGAAAGCUGUUCAUGAGUAUAAAUGCAUAUAUAUCUUGAGGGAAAAGUAGAAUUUAAUGUCCUUUGUACGUAAUUACAGAGAAGAUCUGUUUGAUGAACCUCUGCAUGUAAUUAAUGUCCUUUGUAUCAAAAUACCAAUUUUACUAAUUCAAAAUCAGAAAUGAAAAUUCAUUCUUUGAAGUAUAAUCCACGUGCAUCUGCAUUGAUCACAGUUUUCACAUAAACACUCUUAUCUCUAUAAAGGAGAAGUCUUUUUAUGCACAGUAUGUUUUUGUACAUUAAUUAUUUACCUAGAAGACUAAACCCACAUAGACAUAGAAAAGGUAGCAAAUCACCUAUACAAAAUCUGGAAUCAACUAAUACAAACAAUUUUGGCCAAAUCUUUUUUUCAUUGUUACAAAAAAAAUAAAUUAAAGCAGAAGUCCCCAAAGAUUCCCAACUAAAUGAAUAAUAUAGAAUUGUUUGAAAUCUUGAAUGUAGAAGAAGUAGCACAUACCUAUGAACCUCCUCCCUAUUCAAACACCAGAAUGAAAAAAGUCAGCGAAAUAUAUUCAGUGGAAAAAAAAAUUCAAAGAUCUAAAAGAUUCAUGUACAUGCAUAUAACUAUCUGAUUGGGAAAUCGGUACUAAUAGUUAGAAAGGUGAAGACGAAUGGUAUAACUAUCAGACUGAUAUUGAUCGACACCAAAAUUUUAGUGCUGACGGAACCUAAAUUGACCCAAAACCUCAUUAUCUUGAUGCUUGAUUGAAACCCAAACUCGCAACCACAGUGAUCAGCGAAAUCGAACACCUUCUGCAUUAAUCACCCAAAAAUCGACCAAAGGAGAUGAGCGACCAUAUUGAGCGACUCAUAAACCCAUAAUUCAAGAUCCAAAUCAAAAAAAUAAAAUUUCAAAGGAUGAUGCUUACCUUAGGAAACCUGAAUUCACCCAAAACGGUUACCUUAGUUUGAUCUCCACUCUCUUUCAGACUCUCUCCUCUGUUGUGACUUGUGUCGAAACCAAGACGUAGAAAAGAAAGAAAACGAAACGAAAGCCAGGGAAGAGACGCACGGAGACGGUAGACACACACGUGGAAGUAAAUAGCUAACACCUGUCAUGCCAGAAUUGUAACUCGGCGGAGAACGGAAGGGCAAAAACGGCAGCCCAACGUUCCCUUAGAAAUAGUAGGUCGGCCCCAGGCCGCAUAAUAAUAUAGUAAAUUGAAAAACAAAAAUGAAAGGAAUUGAAAACCCAUUACCCAUAGACACCAUAGACAUCUUCUUCUUUCGCAGCUUCAAAACCACUCACAACUGAUUCAAAAACCUCAGUAAAGGUUUGAAUUUGAUUAUCCAACCCAGCCAAAUCCUGCAUAAAAUAUGAGGAAAACAUGACCAAUCUUACCAAACCGGAAAAUCCGAAACUCAUUUGCACCACCAAAGCUGCAUGUGCCAGAUAAGAAGCUUACCUUGAGCCGAAUCCCUCAAAAGAUCUUACACUACAUACCUGAACUCUAUAAUAGUAUAAUUAUCCUAACACAUAAUUACAACAAAAUAGGAACCCACAACACUAAGAUGUCGUAUUGGGCUCACCCCUCCUUUUUUUCCCAAAUUCAGACCUCCUAUUUUUCCUUCAUGAAAACCCAGAAAACUAAACUUUUUAUAAGUCGUAUCAUAGGAAGUGAGAAAGGGAAGAAAAUGAGAAAAGCAACUUACCGAAACAAAAUACCAUAUGUAGAACUCACCAAGACGCAUGCCAAUACACCAAUAACGUACCUGAAACUCUUUGUUCAUCAAACCCAUUAAACCCAAUAAUGUUCCACAUGAAAAAGUUGAGCUUCUUGGAUGGCGUAAGCAGCUCCUUCAUCCAAGUAGUCCGGCAUUUGAAAGAGGAAAAUAACAAUAGGACAGGUAAUUAGAUCAGAAACAGUUCGAAUAUCAAAAAGAGAGCAAAGAAGAUCAAAAUUUAGAUUCACAAUAUAAAAAACGAAAUAACAAACUUAGGAGAAGUAAGCACACCUGAAAAAAUAUAACCCCCUUACAGCCUUACACACACAGAGCACCACCUUCGAUCUAAAAUCCAAUUCCAAAACACAUGCAGAACAACAAACCAAACAGUUAAAGUAAAAAGGAAGCGAAAUACUUAUCAAAGUUAAGGAAACAUUCGAGUGACUACAAUACUCAAACUCGUACUCCAUC
rnacentral:lncRNA from 1 species